rnacentral:rRNA from 1 species
GACGAACGCUGGCGGCGUGCUUAACACAUGCAAGUCGAACGGAAAGGCCCUGCUUUUGUGGGGUGCUCGAGUGGCGAACGGGUGAGUAACACGUGAGUAACCUGCCCUUGACCUUGGGAUAACUUCAGGAAACUGGGGCUAAUACCGGAUAGGAGCUCCUGCUGCAUGGUGGGGGGUGGAAAGUUUCGGCGGUUGGGGAUGGACUCGCGGCUUAUCAGCUUGUUGGUGGGGUAGUGGCUUACCAAGGCUUUGACGGGUAGCCGGCAUGAGAGGGUGACCGGCCACCAUGGGACUGAGAUACGGCCCAGACUCCUACGGGAGACAGCAGUGGGGAAUAUUGCACAAUGGGAGGAAGCCUGAUGAAGCAGCGCCGCGUGCGGGAUGACGGCCUUCGGGUUGUAAACCGCUUUCGCCUGUGACGAAGCGUGAGUGACGGUAAUGGGUAAAGAAGCACCGGCUAACUACGUG